rnacentral:rRNA from 1 species
UACGUAGGUCCCGAGCGUUGUCCGGAUUUAUUGGGCGUAAAGCGAGCGCAGGUGGUUUAUUAAGUCUGGUGUAAAAGGCAGUGGCUCAACCAUUGUAUGCAUUGGAAACUGGUAGACUUGAGUGCAGGAGAGGAGAGUGUAAUUCCAUGUGUAGCGGUGAAAUGCGUAGAUAUAUGGAGGAACACCGGUGGCGAAAGCGGCUCUCUGGCCUGUAACUGACACUGAGGCUCGAAAGCGUGGGGAGCAAACAGG